CGGGGGUGGUGGGUGGCGGGAGCGCCGUCUGUGCCUCGCUGCCUGGAGUUUAUGCCCUGCCAUUAAUCCUUAAGGUCUGAUUCCAGCAAGCCCUCCAGACAUCACCAAAGCUGAGAAAAUCCUCUCGCCACCGUUUCUCUUCAAAAAGUCUAAGAAAGCUGAAAGCCCAACAGAGAAUUCCGGUUCUAACUCCACCGCUGUAUUUACUUCACGUCCCUUCUAACCUCAACCCAGAGGCACACGUGAGUUUGACUAGCAUGUGACGAGCCUUACAGGUCACAAAGCACCCUCAGACACAAGAGCUACUGCAGUCCUCUGGACCAGGAGCGGAGUUCGGUCAUUGUCCUACUCCAGGGACAUGGGAAGUGAGGCUAAAGACGUUAAAUGAUGGCUGAGAUGCAAGUGUCCUUGAAGAUGGAUCUUCUAAGGUCCCAGCCUGUACCAUUCUUUCCACCGAGACACCUGUGCACCUGAUUUUUAACAGUCCACAAAGUUGCACAUCAUACAUUCUUUUCCUACUCAAUGUUAUUUCAGAAAUACGGUUCCCUUUUUUUCACUGUCAUUCUGGUUAUCCUUUGAAUGGCUGCAUAAUAUAACAUUUUACCAUAAUUUACUCAUCAGCCUCAGGUCAUUGCUCAUUUAGGACAUUCUGGUCUCGCUGUAUGAGAAGCAAUGCUACUGUCAUCUUUUGGGGCCAGACCACUUUUAUUCCUCUGAAUUAUUUUUGUACAGCGAAUUCACAAGAAUGGGAUUAAGGACUCAAUGAGUAUGAACAUCUUGAUGACUCUUGAUUCACCUUGGUAUUAUUGACCUCUAAAAGAACCAGGACUAUUUACUCAUUAUCUAUCCAUGUAUGCAUUCAUUGCUUUGUUUAGCCAGUGAGCCACCCAUCCGUCCAUCCAUGCACCCAUCUACCCAUCCAUCCACCUAUCCACCCACCCAUCCACCCACCCAUCCACCCAUCCACACAUCCAUCCACGCAUUCAUCCCAUCCAUCCAUCCAUCCAUCCAUCCAUCCAUCUAUCCAUCCAUUCAAUGUAUACUUCAUUUCCUCUGAGCCUUAAAUACAUUGCAGAAGUCCCAGAGAGACUGUGUGUUCUGGUGGAUUGGUGGAUGUGGGUAUAGUGGAGGCAGUUUCCGCCCCACCCUCCAUUCUAUCCCCAAGUUUCUACCCUUUUCUUAGACCAGCCUCUGCUGCUCCUCUGGCUCCCCCUGAGCAACACGUUCCCAGGCUCUGUCCCCCUCGCACCGACCACCCCCCCCAACUGCCCUCAGCUGACUCCCUGCUUGAUGCUGGAAGUCCUGGCUCCCUCGGCUUCCCUGUGCUUAUUUUGGAAGGCCUGGCUGUUUAACUGCAGCCGCUGGAGUCAUUUGGUUCCAGCUGUUUCCCCAGGGCCUGGCUGGUCGAGGGUCUGUGCCGGAGACAGUCAGCCUGAGUCAGGGGAGGUCAGGUCCCUGGGGGAGAGAGAGGCCAGCAGUAGCUCUGGGAC
ensembl:lncRNA